GGAAGGGCCGCGGUAUUUUGACCGUGCAAAGGUAGCAUAAUCAUUAGUUCUUUAAUUGUGAUCUGGUAUGAAUGGCUUGACGAGACAUAGGCUGUCUUAGAGGCAUUGGUUUAUUGAAUUUGGUUUUUGAGUUAAAAUUCUUAAAUGUUUUUAUGGGACGAGAAGACCCUAUAGAGUUUGACAGGUUUCUUGUUUGUUCGUUGUUUGUUUUGAUGUUUGUAUUGAGCGGGAAUAACUGUUUUGUUGGGGUGAUGGGAGGAAUAAUAUUUAACUCCUCUUUGUUUUAGUAUAUUUAUGUAUGUUUUUUUGAUCCAUUUAUUUUGAUUAUAAGAUUAAAUUACCUUAGGGAUAACAGCGUUAUCUUCCUUGAGAGUUCUUAUUGGCGGGGAGGUUUGCGACCUCGAUGUUGGAUUAAGGUGAAUUUUCGGUGCAGGAGCUGAAAGUGAUUAGGUCUGUUCGACCUUUAAAAUCUUACAUGAUCUGAGUUCAGACCGGCGUGAGCCAGGUUGGUUUCUAUCUAUAGAAUUGUUUUAUACCUUAGUACGAGAGGACCGGGUAUUUGGAAUAAGUUUCAGUUAUUACAUUGGGUUUUGUUAAUGUUUUUACUAUUUUGGCAGAUAAGUGCAUUGGAUUUAGAAUCUAUUAA
rnacentral:rRNA from 1 species